GAUGAACGCUGGCGGCGUGCCUAAUACAUGCAAGUCGAGCGAAUGGAUUAAGAGCUUGCUCUUAUGAAGUUAGCGGUGGACGGGUGAGUAACACGUGGGUAACCUGCCCAUAAGACUGGGAUAACUCCGGGAAACCGGGGCUAAUACCGGAUAACAUUUUGAACAGCAUGGUUCGAAAUUGAAAGGCGGCUCCGGCUGUCACUUAUGGAUGGACCCGCGUCGCAUUAGCUAGUUGGUGAGGUAACGGCUCACCAAGGCAACGAUGCGUAGCCGACCUGAGAGGGUGAUCGGCCACACUGGGACUGAGACACGGCCCAGACUCCUACGGGAGGCAGCAGUAGGGAAUCUUCCGCAAUGGACGAAAGUCUGACGGAGCAACGCCGCGUGAGUGAUGAAGGCUUUCGGGUCGUAAAACUCUGUUGUUAGGGAAGAACAAGUGCUAGUUGAAUAAGCUGGCACCUUGACGGUACCUAACCAGAAAGCCACGGCUAACUACGUGCCAGCCGCCGCGGUAA
rnacentral:rRNA from 1 species